AAAAAAAACGUCCCAACAUUUCCGGAAUUCGGGUUGUAUCUAUAGUUCUAUUUCUAUUCUAAUAUCAUAAUAUUCUGAAACAAUUUCAACUGCUGAUUCCAAGAAAAAAACAUUCUGGUUAGUAAAUGAUGACAGAAGAUUAUUUUUCCGAAUUUCUAAAUCCAGAAUCAACUCUAAUUGUAGAAUUCUGAUCCGAGUCUGUGAUUGAUAAUGAACUCUGUGUCUGACCUCGUUAAACGUCUCCCUUCAACCCUCCAGACCAUUUCCCAGUAAAAUAAACAGUUGGGUUGUGCUCCGGGCAGCUCUCGGCUCUGAAAUGGAAACUCAAAGGAUCGUUUUAUCCUUCCGCCAGAAUCUUUCCUCUGCUUUUAUCUUGCGUCAUGGCCUGUUUCGGGCGUCAUUUACUGGUAGAACGGCCUGCGUAUCCAGCCUGAGAGGUUGAAAAUAUCUUUGAAAGUAUCAGAGGUCGGACUGCGGCUCAUUUUAGAGUUAUUUAUCUGAGUAGAUUGCAUAAUAAUCAAUCUCAUGGGGAUGUUUCUGUGUGUCGAAAUGAUUAAAACCCCUGCUGCGCGUUCAAUCCUCCAGCAGUGGAAAAACAAUCUGCCUCACCGCCGACACAGACAGCAACCCAACUAAACUUAGGAAUGCUUUAAAUAUGUCAUAUGUUUUCAUUGUUUUUCAAUACACUGAAUUUGUUUUGCAUUUGCAAUGUAGCUAAAAGUAAUUCCACAAAUAUUUCAAACAUCAUUGCCCACAAAAAUAUGAAUUUUAUUGAUAAUACAGAACAAUUCUCAUGUCACAAACCGUUAACAGCUGUUGCAUUACAUCAUUCAACACUCAUUUGUUUUCUGCUCUGUUACAUUUUUUGUCAUUUUACCAAAAACUACUCAAGUAAGAAUCAUAACUAGCAGCAUUUUCUAGAUUAUUUUAAAACUCUAUAUGGAAAGACUGUGUAAUGGACCUCAUGUCCACAAUCUCAAAUCUAAAACUUAUAAGACAACAUUUACAUGAAAAUAUUUGAUAAUGUAUUGAUAGAUAUAAAUAAUAUUUAGAUCAUCUGUGAAAGUGGAAUGAAAACGAUAAAAUAGCAGUAUUUUCUUCUUCAGUGUUUUUGUCUUGUUUUCCAGUACAAAUAUCUUAAUUACAGGUGCUGGUCAUAUAAUUAGAAUAUCAUCAAAAAGUUGAUUUAUUUCACUAAUUCCAUUCAAAAAGUGAAACUUGUAUAUUAUAUUAAUUCAUUACACACAGACUGAUAUAUUUCAAAUGUUUAUUUCUUUUAAGUUUGAUGAUUAUAACUGACAACUAAGAAAAAUCCCAAAUUCAGUAUCUCAGAAAAUUAGAAUAUUGUGAAAAGGUUCAAUAUUGAAGACACCUGGUGCCACACUCUAAUCAGCUAAUUAACUCAAAACACCUGCAAAGGCCUUUAAAUGGUCUCUCAGUCUAGUUCUGUAGGCUACACAAUCAUGGGGAAGACUGCUGACUUGACAGUUGUCCAAAAGACGACCAUUGACACCUUGCACAAGGAGGGCAAGACACAAAAGGUCAUUGCAAAAGAGGCUGGCUGUUCACAGAGCUCUGUGUCCAAGCACAUUAAUAGAGAGGUGAAGGGAAGGAAAAGAUGUGGUAGAAAAAAGUGUACAAGCAAUAGGGAUAACCGCACCCUGGAGAGGAUUGUGAAACAAAACCCAUUCAAAAAUGUGGGGGAGAUUCACAAAGAGUGGACUGCAGCUGGAGUCAGUGCUUCAAGAACCACUACGCACAGACGUAUGCAAGACGUGGGUUUCAGCUGUCGUGUCAAGCCACUCUUGAACAACAGACAGCGUCAGAAGCGUCUCGUUUGGGCUAAAGACAAAAAGGACUGGACUGCUGCUGAGUGGUCCAAAGUUAUGUUUUCUGAUGAAAGAAAAUUUUGCAUUUCCUUUGGAAAUCAGGGUCCCAGAGUCUGGAGGAAGAGAGGAGAGGCACACAAUCCACGUUGCUUGAGGUCCAGUGUAAAGUUUCCACAGUCAGUGAUGGUUUGGGGUGCCAUGUCAUCUGCUGGUGUUGGUCCACUGUGUUUUCUGAGGUCCAAGGUCAACUCAGCCGUAUACCAGGAAGUUUUAGAGCUCUUCAUGCUUCCUGCUGCUGACCAACUAUAUGGAGAUGCAGAUUUCAUUUUCCAACAGGACUUGGCACCUGCACACAGUGCCAAAGCUACCAGUACCUGGUUUAAGGACCAUGGUAUCCCUGUUCUUAAUUGGCCAGCAAACUCGCCUGACCUUAACCCCAUAGAAAAUCUAUGGGGUAUUGUGAAGAGGAAGAUGCGAUAUGCCAGACCCAACAAUGCAGAAGAGCUGAAGGCCACUAUCAGAGCAACCUGGGCUCUUAUAACACCUGAGCAGUGCCACAGACUGAUCGACUCCAUGCCACGCCACAUUGCUGCAGUAAUUCAGGCAAAAGGAGCCCCAACUAAGUAUUGAGUGCUGUACAUGCUCAUACUUUUCAUGUUCAUACUUUUCAGUUGGAAAAAAAUCCUUUCUUUGUAUUGGUCUUAAGUAAUAUUCUAAUUUUCUGAGAUACUGAAUUUGGGAUUUUCCUUAGUUGUCAGUUAUAAUCAUCAAAAUUAAAAGAAAUAAACAUUUGAAAUAUAUCAGUCUGUGUGUAAUGAAUGAAUAUAAUAUACAAGUUUCACUUUUUGAAUGGAAUUAGUGAAAUAAAUCAACUUUUUGAUGAUAUUCUAAUUAUAUGACCAGCACCUGUAUAUUCAGUCUUAAAAAUGAAGUGAGUUUGUGCUUAAAACAAGAAUUCAAAGGGAAAUUUGUUCUUGUUUUAAGCACAAACUCUCUUCAUUUUUGUACAUUUUUCAGAACACACAACAUAAUAUCUUAUGUAAUUUUGCGUCUGUUUUGACCCAGAAGUGAACUGUGGCUUUACACAUGAAAUUAUGCUGGAUUUUGAAAUCCAGGAGCUUCAAGCUGUUUAACAUCAUCAUUUUUUCAUAUGAAAGUAAAAGUUUAUUCAAGUAAAAUGAAUAUAUUUAGUUUGAAUAUAUUUAACAUUUCAGACUAAUAUUGAUGUUGUUUUGGUGUUUUGUUAGAUUCAUAAAAAAAAAGAUUUCAUAAAUUUAGACUGUUUUGAGCAUUUAAUUAAAUCCAUUGAAGUCAAUGGAGUUUAUACUGGUAAUUCUUAUAUGUUCUUAUAAAUUUCAUCUAAUGAUAUAUUAAAAAAGAGUUCUCAUAAAUAUUGAUAUUUUCUUGCAUCACACUGUUUUUUGCUGUAGUUCUUGAAAAAUGUUAAAUUUAAGAGAAUUUCUCUUUUUUUAAUUAAUAAAAAGUGGGUAAAUGAAGUAAUAGCAUGGUAAAAACAUGGUAAACUUUAAAACGUUUGUGCAUUCACUCAUUAAUGAGAAGUUGCUGAUUAGAUACAAUAUGGUUUUAGUUGAAAAAUAUUAAGUUAUGACUGUUUUAUAACCUCACGUACCACUGGGUCCAAACUGACCCCGGAAUACAAAAGGUGUAUAAAGUUUUUUUUAGAUAUUUGUACUGGAAAACAAGACAAAUAUACUGAGGAAGAACAUUAUUUUUUACAGUCGGAAAGAUAAAAUGACUAAUUUUCAUAAAAAUAUAUUUCCAAGUGAACAACUAAAACAACAUGCACGUGUUAAACAUGAAUUUUCUUUCUUUUUCAGACUAAGAACGCUUGGAAGUUUCCUGGUGGUUUAUCAGAUCUUGGAGAAAACAUCGGUGAGACGGCCGUUCGGGAGGUUUUCGAAGAAACUGGGAUCCGAUCAGAAUUCCGAUCUCUCCUAAGUAUUCGUCAGCAGCACAACCACCCAGGGGCGUUCGGGAUGUCCGACAUGUACCUUAUCUGCAGACUCAGCCCGCUUUCGUACGUCAUCGACUUCUGCACGCAAGAGUGUCUGCGCUGCGAAUGG